CAGUACGCUGGUAGCUGAGAGCCAGGGGCGGUAGCGUG
rfam:Enterobacter cloacae SCF1, complete genome.